GAUUCGAGCCGUUCGGAGUUGGAAAAUCGAGGGAAAGGCCUUCUAGUUGAUUGAGGUAAGUAUGUCUAACCUUGUGCGGGGGAAACUCCCCUUAGAAUUUGAUAUUGUUGUGAUAAUUGUGAUAUGUGAAAGCCGUGUACGCAAGGUGACGAGUGCGUACACGGGCUAAAUGUUAAAUUUAUGGUUUUUAGCUAUGUGGUUCUCUUUCAUGCCUUAAUUGAGUUACUUUAACAUGUUGUAGUCCUCAUAAUUAGUCUAAUUUUGCAUGCCUACUUGUCUCAUCUCUUAUUUGCAACUUGUCCUACAUGCUUAGUUGAAUUACUUUCUUUCUUUCAUUCCGUAUUCAUUAUUUAACUGUUGAAUUCUUACUCGAAAUUGUUAUUCUUGGAAUAUUAUGUUGUUGAAUUUGGUAUUUAGUUGCAAAGGUCGUGGUUCCUAUUGAGACGAAGCGCAAGUUGUGAGACAUCAUUUUAUUGAGUUACUCUCCGGUUGUUAUUGUUGAGACUUGUGUACAUUGUGGUUGAACCGUGGGCUCCUUAAUUUUGAAAUUUUGUUAUUGUUUGGUUUUCUGGCAAGUUGUGAUAUUUGGUCACUUGAGGUGCGAAUUGUGAUACGUUGUGAUAUUGAUACACAUGCAGUGGUAUAAGGUCUACGUGUUGAAACGCAUACGGUGAGAUAAGGUGAGCUUGAUACGCGUGGCUAGUAGGGGAACUACUAGAAGCCAUACAGUGUGAUAAGGUGGGCUAAAAUGUGGGAUGCUAUUUUGGAAAAAUGAUUUCUAAAACUAAAUGUAAAGGCUCCCGCGGUGAUAUAAGGAAAGGUUGUGAGUUAUUUUUAUGAUUUGGGACUACGAGGCGGUACCUCGGUAGUAGCCCUUGUUGAUCUUUCUCUAUUUGCUAUAGUUGCUUUGGUUGUUUGUUUUCUUAACAUGUUAAUCCUUGCUUCCUUUCGUGUUGUAUUAACUGUCUUGAUUCUGUGUUAUUAAUUUUCGUAAAUUUCCUUAUUGUUUCAUUUCCAUUGUCUUUAUUAGUAUAUCAUUAUAAUUUUUGCCUUGUUUCUUAUUAUCUCCAAUUUGGCCUUGACAUGACCUUGUCACUACUCUACCGAAGUUAGUCUUGGUACUUACUGGGUACCGUUGUGGUGUACUCAUACUACGCUUCUGUACAUCGUUUUGUGCAGAUCCAGGUACUUCCUAUCAGUCCCGGCAUUAGUGGCCCUUGUUGAUCUUUCUUUAUUUGCUAUAGUUGCUUUGGUUGUUUGUUUUCUUAACAUGUUAAUCAUUGCUUCCUUCCGUGUUGUAUUAACUGUCUUGAUUCUGUAUUGUUAAUUUCCGUAAAUUUCCUAAUUGCUUCAUUUCCAUUUAGUAUAUCAUUAUAAUUUUUGCCUUAUUUCUUAUUAUCUCCGGUAGGACCUUGACAUGACCUCGUCACUACUCUACCGAAGUUAGUCUUAGCACUUACUGGGUACCAUUGUGGUGUACUCAUACUACGCUUCUGCACAUCAUUUUGUGCAGAUCCAGGUACUUCCUAUCAGUUCCGGCAUUAGUGAGCUGAGGUGACUUUGGAGACUUCAAGGUACACAUGCCCGCGUCCGCAGGCCUCAGAGUCCCCUUCUAUCCCGUUUUUCCUUCUUUCAUUACACUAUCUUAGACAAUGAUGUAUCGGAUUGUUCAGAAUUGUUGCUAGGGCUUUUGACUUAUACUUCACGAGGUUUUGGGCAUUAUACAUUUUGAGUUAUAGAUUUUAUUUAUCCAGU
rnacentral:lncRNA from 1 species